rnacentral:misc_RNA from 1 species
GAUGUUUUUUUCUAUAACUUUUAUUACUUUACUAUACCUAUUUUCAUCGAAAGUUACGGCUCAAGCUAAUCAAUUUAGAAUUGUGGGAGGUUUCGAUACCGACAUUUCGGAUGCUCCAUAUAUGGCCUCAUUGCGUGAGUUACGCAAGGAGAUUCGUGCACUGGGCAGUGGACAUUUUUGUGGUGGGACUAUUAUUAAAGAUCGUGUAAUUCUUACGGCAGCUCAUUGUUUAACUAAGUGGGUACGCCUCAGCGAAAAUGUUGCCUGUUCAUUCAGUUAAUUUUUGCUGCAGACGGAGCCCCGCCAAGGCAUUGGUUGUAGUGGGAUUCAAGUAUCUUUCCCUCAAUUGGCCGACGAUGAAGAAACUGAAAAUCUCAAAUUGGAAUUAUCAUAAAAAAUAUAGAAAGGAAAGAAAAGCAAUAUUCGAUAUUGGAUUGAUAUUCACAAUUGAAAAUAUAGAACCCGUUAAUGGGGCAAUCGCAUUUCUGCCCCUUAACACGGUGGAAAUAAGCCCUGGUACUAAAUGUCUAUUGUCUGGAUGGGGUCGAGUUGAGCACAAUGCACCCCAUAGAGCAAGUUGCCUGCAGUCAUUGUGGCAACGGAUUCUAGACAAAAGAGUAUGUUUUAAGAUCGCUAAUAGAUAUGACCUAUUGUGCACCAACUCAGGGCUUCCGACUGGGGCUAGUCGAGGUGAUUCAGGUGGUCCGCUGCGCUGCAACGAUAAACUUGCGGGUGUUAUCGCUGCCGGAGACCUACAUGGUCUCGCUUUAUAUACAGAUGUCCGGCCAUUUGCCGAUUGGAUAGAAGAACAGAUUAGGAAUGGAAUAAUGCCACUUGGCUCGUUUUGCAUUGGGAAGCACGUUGUUUUGGCCAUCAGCAUUUGUGUGGCCACCAUAUGCAAGUCGGGAUUUUAGACUCAGACUAAACCGAGUUACUUACAAUGACUUAUAAAUCAGUAGGCUUAUGAGUUUCGUUCAAUUAACAACUAAUAUUUCGAGAUUUAUAAAAUUCCAAAUUUCCUUGUCUGAAUUUUAGAAAACAAAUAUUAUGUCUCUAAUGCUAAUAUUGAUGAUUCAUAUCGUUUUAUUUUAUCCAUUGACAUCGGCGAAUGCUGGCUCUACGUAUUAAAACAUGUGGAAAUGAAGAAGUCCAGUCAAUAAGGAUCAGAGUGGACUUUUUAUAUAGUUUUUGAAGAAUUGAUACCAACUAAUGUGUAUUUAUAUUGAGGACUAUAACUUUUAUUAAAAUCAACUAUUAACUUGAAUGCAAUUCUCAAGGAAUAUUGAAAAUGACUCCAUAAAAGCUCCACCCAUCGGCAAACCCAUUGGUCAAAUUUGUUUACAUUCCGCUUGGAAACUGGGUCAUUGUGAGCGCGAGCGAGCGAGAUGGCAACAGCAAUGUUGUUAAGCGAUUGUUCGCCGCUGGGACGCAGCUUGAAAUCGCCAACACGAUGGCAACGUGGGACAUGCCCUACCAGCGGCGAUAACAACAAACUGAUCAAAAAAAAAUCAGCAUAACGUUCAAGCCGCUGUAAAUGCUCUAUCUCGUGGAACGAUAAUUGGCCAGAAAUCGCAACUAACUUCAAAUUAUUGUUCAUAUUUUUAUGGAAUGACCUAAGAAAUGGAAAGAAAUAAUUGUAAAUAAUUUUUAAUAUUAGUUUAGCG